AUAAUUUGCCCUUAGGUGGAGGAUACCCUCGGGAAACUGAGAAUAAUACUCCAUAGAUCUAGUCUGCUGGAAUGCUUUUAGAUCGAAAGAUUUAUCGCCUAAGGAUAAGUCUGCGGACUAUCAGGUUGUAGUCAGGGUAAAGACCUGACUAGCCUACGACGGAUACGGGUAGUGAGAGCUUUAGCCCGGAGAUGAUAUCUGAGACACGAUAUCAGGCCCUACGGGGCGCAGCAGGCGCGAAAACUUCGCACUGUGCGAAAGCACGACGAGGGAAUCCCAAGUGCUGGCUCGUAAGAGUCAGCUGUUUCUCUGUCUAAAACGCAGAGAGAGUAAGAGCUGGGUAAGACGGGUGCCAGCCGCCGCGGUAAUACCUGCAGCUCAAGUGGUGGCCGCUAUUAUUGGGCCUAAAACGUCCGUAGCCGGUUCUAUAAAUGCCUGGGUAAAUCGUACGGCUUAACCGUACGAAUUCCGGGUAGACUGUUCAACUUGGGACCGGAAGAGGCUAGAGGUACUCCUGGGGUAGAAGUGAAAUUCUGUUAUCCUAGGGGGACCACCAGUGGCGAAGGCGUCUAGCUAUUACGGGUCUGACGGUGAGGGACGAAGACCUGGGGCGCAAACGGGAUUAGAUACCCCGGUAGUCCAGGGUGUAAACGCUGCUUGCUUGAUGUUAGUCGGGCUCCGAGCCCAACUAGUGUCGGAGAGAAGUUGUUAAGCAAGCUGCCUGGGGAGUACGGCCGCCAGACUGACACUUAA
rnacentral:rRNA from 1 species